UGAUGGGGUUGUUGCUGGCUCUCUAUUGGAGCAUGUGCACGCCUUGUCAUCUUUGUAUCUCCACCUGUGCACUUUUUGUAGACCUUUCAGGUCUAUGUUGCUUCAUUUUUACCCCAUGGAWGGUAAUUAAAAGGUUGGGCCUAUUUAAUUUUACCAAUUUUCACCAACGGAUCUCUGGCUCCCCCCUCCAUUAAAAAACCCACCAAAUGGCAAAAAGAAAGGGAAAUUGCAAAAUUCAUGGAAUCAUCAAAUCUUUAAACGCACCUGGCCCUCCUGGGAUUUCCAAGAAGCAKGCCGGUUUGAUGGUCUUUAAUAUUUAUCAACCUUCCCUUUGUUAAAAGGUUGGAAGGGGGGGGUUUGCUGCCCUUAUUAAAAGGUUCACCUCCUCUAAAAUGCAUUACCAAAACAAACCUGUUCAUUGGUGUGAUAACUAUCUACGCUAUUGAAUGUGAGGGGCAGUUCAGCUUUCUAACCGUCCUCGGACAAAUUCAUCAUUAAUGUGACCUCAAAUCAGGUAGGACUACCCGCUGAACUUAAGCAUAUCAAUAAGCGGAGGAAAAGAAACUAACAAGGAUUCCCCUAGUAACUGCGAGUGAAGCGGGAAAAGCUCAAAUUUAAAAUCUGGCGGUCUUUGGCCGUCCGAGUUGUAAUCUAAAGAAGUGUUAUCCGCGCUGGACCGUGUACAAGUCUCCUGA
rnacentral:rRNA from 1 species